GAAUCCUUGCGCAGCAGCUGGACUCCAAGCUGAAGCUCUUCCCUCCCGCUACAAGCGACCCCUUAACAUCUUAAGUCAGACAGGUGACAGGGAUUUUGAUUUCUUUUCUAGGGCUAUUUAAUCUCCGAGGAUCAGAUGUGGAGCACAAUCCAGUAUUUUUCUCCUACGCAAUCAUAGGACUAGAGACGAUCAUGCUCUUCAUUGAUGGUGACCGCAUAGACGCCCCCAGUGUGAAGGAGCACCUGCUUCUUGACUUGGGUCUGGAGGCCGAAUACAGGAUCCAGGUGCAUCCCUACAAGUCCAUCCUGAGCGAGCUCAAGGCCCUGUGUGCUGACCUCUCCCCAAGGGAGAAGGUGUGGGUCAGUGACAAGGCCAGCUAUGCUGUGAGCGAGACCAUCCCCAAGGACCACCGCUGCUGUAUGCCUUACACCCCCAUCUGCAUCGCCAAAGCUGUGAAGAAUUCAGCUGAGUCAGAAGGCAUGAGGCGGGCUCACAUUAAAGAUGCUGUUGCCCUCUGUGAACUCUUUAACUGGCUGGAGAAAGAGGUUCCCAAAGGUGGUGUGACAGAGAUCUCAGCUGCUGACAAAGCUGAGGAGUUUCGCAGGCAACAGGCAGACUUUGUGGACCUGAGCUUCCCAACAAUUUCCAGUACGGGACCCAACGGCGCCAUCAUUCACUACGCGCCAGUCCCUGAGACGAAUAGGACCUUGUCCCUGGAUGAGGUGUACCUUAUUGACUCGGGUGCUCAAUACAAGUAA
rnacentral:sRNA from 1 species